AUGGGUGCAUACAAAUAGAUCCAGGAGCUAGGGAGGAAAAAGCAGACCGAUGUGUUGCCCUUUCUUCUGAGGGUCCGCUGCUGGCAGUACCGUCAGCUCUCUGCGCUGCACAGGGCUCCCCGCCUCAUCCAGCCUGAUAAAGCUCUUUGGCUGGGAUACAAGGCUAAGCAAGGAUUCAUGUCCGCCAUAGUGGUUGCAGACGCCCGGUUCCAAAGGGUGCAGGCCUGCCCACCAUGGUGUUAACCAGCUAGAAUUUGCCCAAAGCCUUCAGUCUAUUGCCGAGGAGAGAGCUGGGCGCCGUGGUGGGGCUUUGAAAGUCCUCAGUCCACGUGUAAAUGUUUUGAGGUUGUCCUCAUUGAUCCAUUCCAUAAAGCUAUCAGAAGAAAUUCUGACACCCAGUGAAUCACCAAAUCAGUCCACAAAUGCAGAGACGCAUGGACUGACAUUCGCCAACCACAGGAGCCACGCUGUGGAAAAGACCACAAGUUCUACCACGCUAUUGGUGGCUCUUGCCACAAAGCCUAGAGAAGGUGCAAUACUUUCCAGUUCCACCGUU
rnacentral:lncRNA from 1 species